UAGCCUGCUUGCCUAUACAGCCAAAGUCACGCUCUUCUACUUCCGGUCCAUGGGACCUAGCUUUCGAAAAAAUAUGAACGGGAGUCAAUGAGAGAUUAGGGUUAGUUCGAAUUGU